rnacentral:rRNA from 1 species
GACGAACGCUGGCGGCGUGCUUAACACAUGCAAGUCGAACGAUGAACCCGGAGCUUGCUCUGGGGGAUUAGUGGCGAACGGGUGAGUAACACGUGAGUAACCUGCCCUGGACUCUGGGAUAAGCGUUGGAAACGACGUCUAAUACCGGAUAGGACCUUGGAUCGCAUGAUCUGGGGUGGAAAGUUUUUUCGGUCUGGGAUGGACUCGCGGCCUAUCAGCUUGUUGGUGAGGUAAUGGCUCACCAAGGCGUCGACGGGUAGCCGGCCUGAGAGGGUGACCGGCCACACUGGGACUGAGACACGGCCCAGACUACUACGGGAGGCAGCAGUGGGGAAUAUUGCACAAUGGGCGAAAGCCUGAUGCAGCAACGCCGCGUGCGGGAUGACGGCCUUCGGGUUGUAAACCGCUUUUAGUAGGGAAGAAGGGCUUCGGCUUGACGGUACCUGCAGAAAAAGGACCGGCUAACUACGUG